GUGAGUGUAGCCCAGAGGUCUAAGGCGUCAGGUUGUGGCCCUGAAUAUCGAGGGUUCAAAUCCCUCCACUCACCCCA
rnacentral:tRNA from 1 species